UACGUAGGGGCUAGCGUUAUCCGGAAUUACUGGGCGUAAAGGGUGCGUAGGUGGUUUCUUAAGUCAGAGGUGAAAGGCUACGGCUCAACCGUAGUAAGCCUUUGAAACUGGGAAACUUGAGUGCAGGAGAGGAGAGUGGAAUUCCUAGUGUAGCGGUGAAAUGCGUAGAUAUUAGGAGGAACACCAGUUGCGAAGGCGGCUCUCUGGACUGUAACUGACACUGAGGCACGAAAGCGUGGGGAGCAAACAGAAUUAGAUACCCCGGUAGUCCCUGAGCGGG
rnacentral:rRNA from 1 species